rnacentral:rRNA from 1 species
GCUGGCGGUGCGCCUUAUGCAUGCAAGUCGAGCGAAGCUUUUCAGUAGUUUACUACAGAAAAUGACUGAGCGGCGAACGGGUGAGUAACGCGUGAGCAACCUACCUUAGUUACUGGGAUAGCCCGAGGAAACUCGGAUUAAUACCGGAUAUUCUUAUUUAAUCACAUGAUUUUUUAAGGAAAGGUCAGCCGAACUAAGAUGGGCUCGCGUUCUAUCAGCUAGUUGGUAGGGUAAUGGCCUACCAAGGCUACGACGGAUAGCUGGUCUGAGAGGACGAUCAGCCACACUGGGACUGAGACACGGCCCAGACUCCUACGGGAGGCUGCAGCAGGGAAUAUUGCGCAAUGAGCGAAAGCUUGACGCAGCGACACCGCGUGUGGGAUGACGGAUCUAGGUUUGUAAACCACUUUCAGGAGGGAAGAAAAUGACGGUACCUCCACAAGAAGCCCCGGCCAACUACGUGCCAGCAGCCGCGGUAAUACGUAGGGGGCGAGCGUUGUCCGGAUUUAUUGGGCGUAAAGAGCUCGUAGGCGGUUCAACAAGUCGGUCGUGAAAGUUCAGGGCUCAACCCUGAAAUGUCGAUCGAUACUGUUGUGACUAGGAUACGGUAGAGGUGAGUGGAAUUCCGAGUGUAGCGGUGAAAUGCGUAGAUAUUCGGAGGAACACCAAUUGCGAAGGCAGCUCACUGGGCCGCUAUCGACGCUGAGGAGCGAAAGCUAGGGGAGCAAACAGGAUUAGAUACCCUGGUAGUCCUAGCUGUAAACGAUGGAUACUAGACGUAGGAAUUGGAUUAACGAUUUCUGUGUCGUAGCUAACGCGUUAAGUAUCCCGCC